rnacentral:lncRNA from 10 species
CAGGUCUCCAGGACUGAAGGUUAUCAUCUAAGUUGGUGUUCUCAACUGGAGGCGAUUUACCCCCCACCCAGGAGACAGUUGGCAAUGUCUGGAGGAAAUCUCUUGCCGGAAGCCGUGCCACAGAGCACACAGGCAGUUUGCAGAGAAGGAUGCAACCCACACCAUGUCCGAAGCGGGCUCUGGGGAAGGCAAGGUUUGAUUGUUUCUCAGGUUGUUUUACUGCCCUGCCCACACCCUCCCACCCAGAGAAGUUAUUCCUUCUGCAGCUGUGUGCGAUUUUUUCAGAAAGAGUUUUAGUCUUUGUUUUUCCCAAGACUUUGUAUUGCCUUUUCUCCUCUUCUUGGGCUUGAGUUUAGAUGGGACAUAACAGGAAAGGGCAAUGAAUCCCAAACCCAUUUUAUUUUUUGGUUCAUUUGUUGAUUUAUUUUUAUCUCAGCAAUAAUUUAGUGAGAAAGAAG